GGCGCACGGGUGAGUAACGCGUGGGUAAUCUGCCUUUAAGCUUGGGAUAACACUGCGAAAGCGGUGCUAAUACCGGAUAAGCUCACAGUUUGAGAUGUCUGUGAGAAAAGGUGGCCUCUGACAUAAGCUACCACUUAAAGAUGAGCCCGCGUACCAUUAGCUUGUUGGUGGGGUAAUGGCCUACCAAGGCUACGAUGGUUAGCUGGCCUGAGAGGGCGGCCAGCCACACUGGAACUGAGACACGGUCCAGACUCCUACGGGAGGCAGCAGUGGGGAAUAUUGCGCAAUGGGGGAAACCCUGACGCAGCGACGCCGUGUGAGUGAUGAAGGCUUUCGGGUCGUAAAGCUCUGUC
rnacentral:rRNA from 1 species